rnacentral:ribozyme from 1 species
AUUGGAUAUCUGGGAUGAAAGGUGUGCACAUCACGGCCCAUGUCAGACUGUCUCAGUCUGCAAAUCCUGCU